GGAUUUCCGAGGACGGAACAGGCAGCCGUCGCCGCGGUGGAGAUCCGGGAGUGGCACCCCGCCGGAAUCC
rnacentral:ncRNA from 17 species